rnacentral:tRNA from 1 species
UGGCUCAGUUGGUAGAACAUGGUGUUUGCAAUGCCAGGGUUGUGGGUUCAAUUCCCAU